GGCAGAAGUAGGAUUGCCAUGAGUUCAAGGCCAUCCUGACACUACAUAAUGAAUUCCAGGUCCAUGCAUAGAGAAAAACCAAACCCACCAGCAGCAUCACAAGCAAGCAUACUUCAGGAACCUCAGGAAGAACUCAAGCACUUUGUAUAUCUUUGGAUUGGAAUUCCAAACCUACCCCCACACCUCUAGCCAGGGCAGAGUGAGCCAGCAAUGGGAAGUGAGAAGCUUCUGACAGAAGAGGUGGAGUCACAAGACUGUGUAGAGCUGAGGAGCUGUGCAGCCUUGACAGUGGCAGAGGGAGGGACACAAGAGCAGUGGCAGCAAUCAUACCGGAGCAAUGACUGUGGUAGAAGCAGUAACAGAAGGAACUUAACUUGACACCUGUUGCAGUCAGCUUCGUGUUGCUGGCAGAAAACACCUGGCCAAGAGCAACUUGUUGGAGGAAAGGGUUUAUUUUGGCUUACAGACUCCAUGAUGGAAGUAAAAAGGAUGGCAGGAGCAGAG